rnacentral:piRNA from 1 species
UUGGUCCAAUUUCUCAAUUUU